GAAUUUGGUCUCAACCUGACACUUCGAGAAGAGAAUUUACCACUGCCAGACUGUUGGAUUUCGUUCAGGAGUGGUUAUCUGGGGAGAAAGCAUUCCUUCCCUAGUCACGCCCGUCUCAGUGACUGUGGUUGGCAGGAGCUCAGGAGGUCAUCCAGUCCAACCCCCUGCCCAGGCAGGGCCAUCCUGAGCCAGCUGCCCAAAACCAAGGCCAAGGAUGGAGAAUUCAUGGCCUCCCUGAGCAACCUGCUCAGGUGUUUGACCAUUCUGACAAUUAAAAAGUGUUUCCUUAGA